rnacentral:tRNA from 1 species
GAGGAUGUGGCUCAAUGAUAGAGUGCUCAUCUAACACGUGUGAGGCCCUGGGUUUGAUACUCAGCACCACA